AGCUUACGUUGCCAGCGUCACAAAUAGUGAUCCCAGCAUAAAGACGUAUUGCAUCACAGCAUUUUACGUUUACGUUGCUGACGUCAAUAGGCUUAGGAAACGUGUCACCAAAUAACUACGCCGAGAAAAUACUCUCCAUAUUUGCUGUUCUGCUUGGUUGGCUGCGGAGUACUGCAAUCUUCGACGGUAACAUCUCUUUUAAAAUGAUGCGGGUGUAUCAGCGGACAGAUGACUACCAAGAAAAAAAACAAAAACUUUCAUCAUCUUCCGAAGAAUCCUGCACACUGAUUGCAAGAGACCUUCCAACACAUCUGGCUGUACACUUAUGGAACACGGUUUUAAAGAGUUUCCCGGAGUGCCUUCAAGCAAAUAUAUAACUUCAUUUGAACAGAAACUUGCUGAAUAAGUGCCCAGCGUUCCAGAAGGCAUUUACAGGAUAUCUUCGUGUCUUAACUAUGCAGUACGCCCCCUGGUGACACAUUGCUACAUCCGGGUGAUAUACUGACAGCUCUCUAUGUAAUUGCAUGCAGUUCAUUGGAAAU